UGGGGAAUAUUGCACAAUGGGCGCAAGCCUGAUGCAGCGACGCCGCGUGAGGGAUGACGGCCUUCGGGUUGUAAACCUCUUUCAACGCCGACGAAGCGUAAGUGACGGUAGGCGUAGAAGAAGCACCGGCCAACUACGUGCCAGCAGCCGCGGUAAUACGUAGGGUGCGAGCGUUGUCCGGAAUUACUGGGCGUAAAGAGCUCGUAGGUGGUUUGUCGCGUUGUUCGUGAAAACUCACAACUCAAUUGUGGGCGUGCGGGCGAUGCGGGCAGACUGGAGUACUGCAGGGGAGACUGGAAUUCCUGGUGUAGCGGUGGAAUGCGCAGAUAUCAGGAGGAACACCGGUGGCGAAGGCGGGUCUCUGGGCAGUAACUGACGCUGAGGAGCGAAAGCGUGGGGAGCGAACAGGAUUAGAUACCCUGGUAGUCCACGCCGUAAACGGUGGGUACUAGGUGUGGGUUUCCUCCUUGGGAUCCGUGCCGUAGCUAACGCAUUAGUACCCCG
rnacentral:rRNA from 1 species